GCGAGUCUUAACUGGGCGCUCAGUCUCUGGAUAUAGACCCGAAACCGGGUGAUCUAGCCAUGGGCAGGUUGAAGGUUGAGUAACAUCAACUGGAGGACCGAACCGACUAAUGUUGAAAAAUUAGCGGAUGACUUGUGGCUAGGGGUGAAAGGCCAAUCAAACUCGGAGAUAGCUGGUUCUCCCCGAAAGCUAUUUAGGUAGCGCCUCGGACGAAUACUACUGGGGGUAGAGCACUGUUAAGGCUAGGGGGUCAUCCCGACUUACCAACCCUUUGCAAACUCCGAAUACCAGUAAGUACUAUCCGGGAGACACACGGCGGGUGCUAACGUCCGUCGUGGAGAGGGAAACAACCCAGACCGCCAGCUAAGGUCCCAAAGUAUUGCUAAGUGGGAAACGAUGUGGGAAGGCUCAGACAGCUAGGAUGUUGGCUUAGAAGCAGCCAUCAUUUAAAGAAAGCGUAAUAGCUCACUAGUCGAGUCGGCCUGCGCGGAAGAUGUAACGGGGCUAAGCA
rnacentral:rRNA from 1 species